GACGAACGCUGGCGGCGUGCUUAACACAUGCAAGUCGAACGGAGUGGCGAACGGGUGAGUAACACGUGGGUGACCUGCCCUGCACUUCGGGAUAAGCCUGGGGAACUGGGUCUAAUACCGGAUAGUGUGGGAUGGGCCCGCGGCCUAUCGGCUUGUUGGUGGGGUAAUGGCCGACCAAGGCGGGGACGGGUAGCCGGCCUGAGAGGGUGGACGGCCACAUUGGGACUGAGACACGGCGCAGACUACUACGGGGGGCAGCAGUGGGGAAUAUGGCACAAUGGGCGGACGACUGAUGCAGGGAGGCGGCGUGGGGGAUGACGGCCGUCGGGUUGUAAACUCCUUUCACCAUCGACGCGGUAGAUGGAGAAGAAGCACCGGCUAACUACGUGCCAGCAGCCGCGGUAAUUC
rnacentral:rRNA from 1 species